rnacentral:rRNA from 1 species
UACAGAGGGUGCGAGCGUUAAUCGGAUUUACUGGGCGUAAAGGGCGCGUAGGCGGUCUAAUAGGUGUGAUGUGAAAGCCCUGGGCUUAACCUAGGAAGUGCAUCGCAAACGAUUAGACUGGAGUAGAUGAGAGGGUGGCGGAAUUUCCGGUGUAGCGGUGAAAUGCGUAGAGAUCGGAAGGAACGUCGAUGGCGAAGGCAGCCACCUGGCAUCAUACUGACGCUGAGGCGCGAAAGCGUGGGGAGCGAACAGG